rnacentral:rRNA from 1 species
CUACGGGGGGCUGCAGUGGGGAAUAUUGGACAAUGGGGGAAACCCUGAUCCAGCAAUGCCGCGUGUGUGAAGAAGGCCUGCGGGUUGUAAAGCACUUUCGGUUGGGAGGACUGCUUCUAGCACUAAUAUUGUUGGAAGUUGACGUUACCUUCAGAAGAAGCACCGGCUAACUCCGUGCCAGCAGCCGCGGUAAUACGGAGGGUGCAAGCGUUAAUCGGAAUUACUGGGCGUAAAGCGCGCGUAGGCGGCUAGAUCAGUCGGGUGUGAAAGCCCCGGGCUUAACCUGGGAACUGCACCCGAUACUGUCUAGCUUGAGUACAGGAGAGGAGAGUGGAAUUCCACAUGUAGCGGUGAAAUGCGUAGAUAUGUGGGGGAACACCAAUGGCGAAGGCAGCUCUCUGGCCUGAUACUGACGCUGAGGUGCGAAAGCGUAGGGAGCAAACAGGAUUAGAUACCCCUGUAGUC